CACUGGGCCUACACUUCCACAGCUGGUGAACUGUGCUGAGAGAGUAGAAUAUUUUUCUUCUGAAGAUGUAGGCAGUGCAGGGGUUCGGGCAUAUCCCUGGUUUGAUAUAAGUGUUUUGUUUGCUCAUCAGAAAGCAGCUGAUUGCUGUUGCCCUGGAAACACAUACAGAUCAACUCAGGCAAAGGUAGCAGACUUACAUCUCUUCAAUUCUAAGUCUGGGUGCAAGAGCAGAAGGACCGAGGUGAAAACGUUCCCAGACCAUUGAAGGUGGCAAGGCUCAUGGAGAGAGCAAUAUCUUCAGUUAUUAUGGUUAUUAUCAAGAUCCAUUUUAUCUUCUUUUAACAGCUUCAGUGGAAGGCUUCUCCCAGCCCAGAGACCAAGUAGCUUCCAGUGACCCAGCGUGAUGAUCUCAGCCCGGGCACGGCUGCAUUUUCUGGGUAUUCAUUUGUGCUUUGAUCGGCUUUCCCCAAGCCCGGAAGCUGUUAACUGAUCUGUGGUAGACUUUGUCUUAAUUUUAAAAAUGAUUAUGAAUGACUUCGGUCAUUAAUAUAGUCGCUAUGGUGUGUCAAAAUGUUUCACUGUAUUUUUCAUUAAAAGUGUGCGUGACAAUAAAUUUCCAUUCUAUUUUUGUUCU